UAAAAAAUUUGGCGGUAUUUUAGUCUAUUCAGAGGAACCUGUUCUGUAAUCGAUAAUCCGCGAUGGACCUUACUUAAAUUGGUGAAGUUUAUAUACCGUCGUUAUUAGAAUAUUUUAUAAGAAUGUUAAUUUUCAAAAUUUUAAAAAAGAAAAUAUAUCAGAUCAAGGUGUAGCUUAUAUUUAAGUAGAAAUGGGUUACAAUAAAUUUAUUUAUAUGAAUAUAAGUUUGAAAUACUUAUUGAAAGUGGAUUUGAUAGUAAAGUUAUAAAGAUUAAUAACUUGAUUUUAGCUCUAAAAUAUGUACACAUCGCCCGUCACUCUUAUUACUAAGAUAAGAUAAGUCGUAACAUAGUAGAUGUACUGGAAAGUGUAUCUAGAAUGCAAUUUAAAGCUUAUUAGUAAAGCAUUUCAUUUACAUUGAAAAGAUUUUUGUGCAAAUCAAUAUAAAUUGAAUAUUUUUUAUUUAUUAAUUUUGUUUGUUUAUUUAUUAUUUUAUUAAAAAUAAUUAUAAAAAGUUUAGUUUUAGUAUUUUAUAAAGAAAAAAUAAAUUUAAUUAUAGUGAAUUAGUAUUGUGAAAGAAAAUUGAAAUAAUUUGAAAAUUAUUAUUUUAAAAGAAAAUU
rnacentral:rRNA from 1 species